rnacentral:rRNA from 1 species
UGGGGAAUUUUGGACAAUGGGCGAAAGCCUGAUCCAGCAAUGCCGCGUGUGUGAAGAAGGCCUUCGGGUUGUAAAGCACUUUUGUCCGGAAAGAAAUCCUUGGCUCUAAUACAGUCGGGGGAUGACGGUACCGGAAGAAUAAGCACCGGCUAACUACGUGCCAGCAGCCGCGGUAAUAGCGUAGGGUGCAAGCGUUAAUCGGAAUUACUGGGCGUAAAGCGUGCGCAGGCGGUUUGCUAAGACCGAUGUGAAAUCCCCGGGCUCAACCUGGGAACUGCAUUGGUGACUGGCAGGCUAGAGUAUGGCAGAGGGGGGUAGAAUUCCACGUGUAGCAGUGAAAUGCGUAGAGAUGUGGAGGAAUACCGAUGGCGAAGGCAGCCCCCCUGGGCCAAUACUGACGCUCAUGCACGAAAGGCGUGGGGAGCAAACAGGAUUAGAUACCCUGGUAGUCCACGCCCUAAACGAUGUCAACUAGUUGUUGGGGGAUUCAUUUCCUUAGUAACGUAGCUAACGCGUGAAGUUGACCGCCUGGGGGAGUACGAG